UACGUAGGGUGCGAGCGUUGUCCGGAAUUACUGGGCGUAAAGAGCUCGUAGGUGGUUUGUCGCGUUGUUCGUGAAAACUCACAGCUUAACUGUGGGCGUGCGGGCGAUACGGGCAGACUGGAGUACUGCAGGGGAGACUGGAAGUUCCUGGUGUAGCGGUGGAAUGCGCAGAUAUCAGGAGGAACACCGGUGGCGAAGGGCGG
rnacentral:rRNA from 1 species